rnacentral:rRNA from 1 species
AUUUGUUCUCCUGGGACGGACAACAUCGGGAAACUGAUGGGAAAACGUCUAAGUUGCAGUUAAUUGACUGUGACGUAAACCUUUGUGUGCAGGAGAGUAAGAUGCCAUCCUAUCAGUUAGUAAGUAGGGUAAGGGCCUACUUAGACGAAGACGGGUACGGGGAAUGAGGGUUUGAUUCCGGAGAGGGAGCCUGAGAGAUGGCUACCAGGACCAAGGUCAGCAGCAGGCGCGAAAAUUAUCGAAGCCCGCCUAGGGGCGAUAGUGAGGAGACGUGUAUAACGAAGUACGUGUAAAGAACGUGCUAAUAACUGGAGGUCAAGUCUGGUGCCAGCAUCCGCGGUAAUUCCAGCUCCAGGGGUGUCUAUGAUGAUUGCUGCGAUUAAAAAGUCCGUAGUCAAUCUGACUGACUGACCUGCAAUGUGAUUGAUUAAAGAACGAGCAGGGUUAGGAAAGCAGAGAAUUAGGAGCGACCGAGGGCUAGAGUAUUGAAUGGCGAGAGGUGAAAUUUGAUGACCCAUUCAGGAGUGACAAAGGCGAAAGCACUAGUCAAGGGCGAAUCCGAUGAUCAAGGACGUAGGCUAGAGUUUCGAAAACGAUUAGAGACCGGAGUAGUUCUAGCAGUAAACUAUGCCGACGCCGUGGUAUCAAUAAUGGUAUUGCGGAAGAGAAAUCAAGUAAGGCUUUGGGGAGAGUACGCGCGCAAGCGAUAAAUUAAAGGAAAUUGACGGAGGAACACCACAAGGUUGGGCGUGC